UUCCGUAGGUGAACCUGCGGAAGGAUCAUUCGCACAUAAUCCAAUUCAUCUUUGUGAAUACUUCUGUGGGCGAUGGUGUGGGCGAGCGCCUUCGGGCACCACCAUGCCAGAUCCCACGGGCGGCUAGGUGGGUAAUAGAGAUAUCUUCUCUUGAACCCGCUGCCGUCAUUUGCCACUCGGCAUUCGGUAAACUGUCUUUCGUCAAUGGCUUCUGCCUUAACUCUUUACAACUUUCAGCGAUGGAUGUCUCGGUUCGAUCAACGAUGAAGGGCGCAGCGAAGUGCGAUAAGCAUUGUGAAUUGCAGGAUUCCGUGAACCGACAGGGACUUGAACGCAUAUUGUGCUUUUGGGAUAUCCCUGAAAGCACGCCUGCUUCAGUGUCUGUGCUUUAUAAUUCCAGCACUGGCAGUCACUUCGGGUGGCGCGGUGCUGCGAGUACUCGUGUCUCGAGGAAGCGCGCUUCGACACAUCUUUCGUUUGGGCGCUCUCGAGGCAUUGGAAACACAAGACUGUGCGAUGCAGAAACCAGCUUACUGAUCGCUUCGGCGUUUGAUUCGUUGGGGUUUGCUCCAAAGCCUUGUAAUCAGCUCAGCUUGGCGUUUCGGCGACAAGCUUCCAUGACAUGAAGUCAGGUUGGCAAACCCGCUGAAUUUAAGCAUAUC
rnacentral:rRNA from 1 species